GGAAGUAAAAGCGUAACAAGGUUUCCGUAGGUGAACCUGCGGAAGGAUCAUUAUUGUAUAACCGAGGUGCGAGGGCUGUCGCUGACCAGAGAGGUCGUGCACGCCCGAGUGCCCUCACACACAUCCAUCUCACCCCUAUGUGCACCACCGCGUGGGUCCCCCGUUGGCGUGUUCGGAGGGGGGCUUACGUUUUCACACAGACUUUGUAUGCAGUGUAGAAUGUAUUUUUUGUUUUUGCGAUCACGCAAUCAAUACAACUUUCAACAACGGAUCUCUUGGCCCUC
rnacentral:misc_RNA from 1 species